rnacentral:rRNA from 1 species
AUUGAACGCUGGCGGCAUGCCUUACACAUGCAAGUCGAACGGUAACGGGCCCUCGGGUGCCGACGAGUGGCGAACGGGUGAGUAAUAUAUCGGAACGUGCCCAGUAGUGGGGGAUAGCCCGGCGAAAGCCGGAUUAAUACCGCAUACGACCUGAGGAUGAAAGCGGGGGAUCGCAAGACCUCGCGCUAUUGGAGCGGCCGAUAUCAGAUUAGCUAGUUGGUGGGGUAAAGGCCUACCAAGGCAACGAUCUGUAGUUGGUCUGAGAGGACGGCCAGCCACACUGGGACUGAGACACGGCCCAGACUCCUACGGGAGGCAGCAGUGGGGAAUUUUGGACAAUGGGCGCAAGCCUGAUCCAGCAAUGCCGCGUGCAGGAAGAAGGCCUUCGGGUUGUAAACUGCUUUUGUCAGGGAAGAAAUCUUCUGGGUUAAUACCUCGGGAGGAUGACGGUACCUGAAGAAUGAGCACCGGCUAACUACGUGCCAGCAGCCGCCGUAAGAC